rnacentral:miRNA from 1 species
UGCAUAAUACGGAGGGUUCU